rnacentral:rRNA from 1 species
CACGUAGGGCGCAAGCGUUGUCCGGAAUUAUUGGGCGUAAAGAGCUCGUAGGCGGACUGUCACGUCUGCUGUGAAAACUCGGGGCUUAACUCCGGGCCUGCAGUGGGUACGGGCAGACUAGAGUGCGGUAGGGGAGACUGGAAUUCCUGGUGUAGCGGUGAAAUGCGCAGAUAUCAGGAGGAACACCGGUGGCGAAGGCGGGUCUCUGGGCCGUAACUGACGCUGAGGAGCGAAAGCGUGGGGAGCGAACAGG